rnacentral:rRNA from 1 species
GGGGAGCAAACAGGAUUAGAUACCCUGGUAGUCCACGCCGUAAACGAUGUCUACUUGGAGGUUGUGGCCUUGAGCCGUGGCUUUCGGAGCUAACGCGUUAAGUAGACCGCCUGGGGAGUACGGUCGCAAGAUUAAAACUCAAAUGAAUUGACGGGGGCCCGCACAAGCGGUGGAGCAUGUGGUUUAAUUCGAUGCAACGCGAAGAACCUUACCUACUCUUGACAUCCAGAGAAGCCAGUAGAGAUACAGGUGUGCCUUCGGGAGCUCUGAGACAGGUGCUGCAUGGCUGUCGUCAGCUCGUGUUGUGAAAUGUUGGGUUAAGUCCCGCAACGAGCGCAACCCUUAUCCUUGUUUGCCAGCGAGUAAUGUCGGGAACUCCAGGGAGACUGCCGGUGAUAAACCGGAGGAAGGUGGGGACGACGUCAAGUCAUCAUGGCCCUUACGAGUAGGGCUACACACGUGCUACAAUGGCGCAUACAGAGGGCAGCGAACUUGCGAAAGUAAGCGAAUCCCAAAAAGUGCGUCGUAGUCCGGAUUGGAGUCUGCAACUCGACUCCAUGAAGUCGGAAUCGCUAGUAAUCGUGGAUCAGAAUGCCACGGUGAAUACGUUCCCGGGCCUUGUACACACCGCCCGUCACACCAUGGGAGUGGGCUGCAAAAGAAGUAGGUAGUUUAACCUUCGGGAGGACGCUUACCACUUUGUGGUUCAUGACUGGGGUG